CAGGUUUUGAUAAAUCUCCCCAAAUAUUGAUAAAUGUCCCCCUCAUACCCUUUUGCUAUGACAAUUGAAAUGAAUCUCCGGGGUCUCCCAAUUCUCUUGAUCAUUUCUGAGAUGUUUCUACACCUUGGUUGGAGUCUCCUGUGUUACCUACAUGUCAAUGAGCAGCAAUGAGGGAUGAAAAACAUUCACAACUUGGACAUAAGAAGGAAUGUUUCACAUUGUGCCCCACAGAAAAAUACACAAACUUCCUGUCUAUGUACAGCUGUCAGUUGUAUGAAUGCGCAUUUAUACAAUCACUUUUGAACAUGCCACUUUCAACACAGUUUGGAAAAUAUUGAGAAGCGUCAAAAAGGAAAAUUCAAUGUUCAGUUCCCUUAUGAAGAAAUGAAACAAUAAGAGAAAAUGUCAAGAAGCCCGCUCAUAGGCCAGUAUGUGUCAUUCCUGGCUUUUAUAUAAAAAGGAAAAGUACACUUUCAAAACCGUUUUACUGUUCCGAUGUGUCCAAAAUAAAAAUAAAAUAAACUACUUUGCAAAUGGAUUGAAAACAUUUUACAAUUUGUUCUACAGCUGCUUUUUAAACCUAUUUGUACUCAUGGUUACAGACUGCAAACAAAUCUUGUGUCUAGUCUGAUCCUGCAGUUCUUCUCCCUUUUCUCCAUCUCCCACUACCUUCAAGAGUUAUAUAUUCCUAAAAGGUUUAUUCCACAAUAGCGUGCACUCCAUAGUAUGUCCAGCGUGGAGGUUCAAGCAAUUCUUAGAAGUUUAUUCAGCAAUUAGCCAACAUGAGAAACAUGUUUCUCAUGUUGGCUAAUUGCUGAAUAAACUUCUAAGAAUUGCUUGAACCUCCACGCUGGACAUUGCCUUUUGUCUUUGCUGCUACUCUGGAUCGAGGGUCCGGUCCUAGUCUCGUGUCGUGGAGUGGGCGAGAGGGAGAGCUGUGUCUACCAUUGUUUGCUUCACACUCCAUAGUAUGUAUGAAAACAAGGAUUGUGUCCAUACAAAGUGUUUUAAAAUAAGAUAUCAUGAUGUACAUUUAAAGGCUUGUGCCCCUGAUGCUAACUUGAGUAUUGAACAUGUCACCAUUUUUCUCAACAAAUAUAUUUCCAAAGGUCCUAUUGCCAUUAAAUUGUCCCCAUAUGAUGGAAACAACCAAAGUAAUCCAUACGUACAAAGAAACCAUAACAAAUAAGAAAUUAAGUAAAUGUGUAAUGUGAAAUGACACAGGAGAAAAAAAGUACUGAACACAUCUAUUAGCACGGACAAUCCAGCCCCUUGUCUGUGCGAAUUAAUACCAGCUGGUUCAGUCCCAACUGAUGGCCUACAAAAAGGUCUUAUUGCCAAGAUGUCACACAAGACCUCUCAUGAUGGGUAAAAGCAAAAAGCGGUCUCCUAAUUGUUGCAAAACAUAAAAUGUGCCUAUAACCAACGUCAUUGUUAAGCUUUUGAAGGCUCCAGUGAGCACUGUUGGUGCCAUAAAAUGGAAGUGGAAAGACAAUCAUUUCACCAUAAAUUUGCCUAAACCAGGUGCUCCUCGCAGGAAUUCUGACAAAGGAGUGAAGAGCCAAGGACCAAUUGUGGAGAGCUUCAAAAAGCAAUUAGCAAACAGUAAGUACUGCACUCUACCGCCACCGUAUGCGUGUUCACCACACAAAGCCCCACUGCUGAAUAACCAGCAUGGUAAGACUUUUUUGAAGUUUGCUUGCUGCACAACAUUUGGAAAAGCAAGUGAAAUAUUGGAUGUAUAUAGUAUGGUCAGAGGAGAGCAAAAUUUAAAUUUAUUGAAUGCCAUAAUACACAUCACGUUUGGAAGAGAAAUUGCCAUGCACAUCACCCAAAAAACAGCUCACCAACAGUGAAGUUUGGAGGUGGGAACAUCAUGGUGUGGGGCAGCUUUUCAGUAAAUGGUACCCACAAUAAUUGAAUUAAUGAUAAAUGGACACAUUUACUGAGACAUUCUUGACAAAAAUCUGCUGCAAUCUACCAGGAUGAUGAAGAUGAAACGAGGGUGGACAUUUCAACAAGACAAUGAUCCCAAACACACAGCCAAGGAAACUCAAAUGGUUUCAAAAAAAUUAAAUCCCAUUGAAAAUCUAUGGAAACAACUGAAGGUCAUGAUUCAUAAGAGGCCCACAGAACCUUCAAAUUUGAAGACUGAGUAGAAAAAUGGUCCAAUAUCUCUCCAAAGCAAUGUAUGCGACUAGUUUCUCCAUACAGGAGGCUUCUUGAAGCGGUCAUUACCAAAGAAGGCUACAAAGUAUUAAAUAAAUAUCAGUAAGCUUGUUCACUUUUCUACCUGUGACAUAUCACAUUAUUACACAUAAAUUCUGAACUUAUUUCUUUUGGUUUCUUUGUAUGGAUUACUUUGGUUGUUACUAACAUCAGGUGAAUUUUAUGUCAAUAGCACCUUUGGAAAUAUAUUUAGUUAAAAAAAAAUGGUGACAUGUUAAAUACUUAUUUUACCCAUUGAAUAUGUCAAAUGUACAUGUAGUACUUGUCAGGGGUUCAUAUUCCCCUUUUUCGUGCCUGUGGUGUUGAGCCUCUCCCACGAUGAUGAGUGCUUAAGACAAUGGCUGAUCACAGGGGGCUCGGCUUCUCGUUGUACCCGACAACCCAGCCCCUGAUGACAUAUGCAGCCUAUCCAUACGUUCCGACAGGUGCGUUGAACCAGUCCAUGCUUUCUGCAGAAUGUGCAGUUGUCUGAUGCAGCACAGGAUCCUGGAAAAGGCUUGGGAUGAUAGUUCAGAGGAAUGCUGAAACUGAGGGGGCAUACAAAUACUUACCAGGAAACGAUCCACCAAUGACAGGUACUACCUGUACAUUACACAUACCUAAACUUGGAAUCGGGAGCACAUACCUUAAAACAUACAAAAAAGCUGGAAUACCCCUUGAAGAUAGAAUUAGGGGACAAUUGGAAGACAGUAUGACUGCAGGUUCUGACUACAAAGGGUGGGCCAGUGUACUAUGACUAUACAGAUGUGCAUGGGAGCUGCAGUUGCAAAAUGAUAGACUUUUUACAAUCUGUAUUUUUUUUUCUUAUUUCAAAUCCACUGGAGCUAUAAAGAAAUGGUUCUGUUUAUACAUCCUCACGAUAUUUUGAACGUACCCUGAAAGUGUAGCUUCUUCUUUAAAGGAGUUAUCCAUCAAUAUAUUUUAAAACCUACAUGUGGCCAUGCUGGGCUAAAUAAAUUGAAAAAAAUCCUGUCCUGAACAUUACAAAU